rnacentral:rRNA from 1 species
CAGUCGCCGCGGUAAUACGUAGGGUGCAAGCGUUAAUCGGAAUUACUGGGCGUAAAGCGUGCGCAGGCGGUUUGUUAAGACAGAUGUGAAAUCCCCGGGCUCAACCUGGGAACUGCAUUUGUGACUGGCAAGCUAGAGUGCGGCAGAGGGGGGUGGAAUUCCGCGUGUAGCAGUGAAAUGCGUAGAUAUGCGGAGGAACACCGAUGGCGAAGGCAGCCCCCUGGGCCAACACUGACGCUCAUGCACGAAAGCGUGGGGAGCAAACAGGAUUAGAUACCCGGGUAGUCCCUGUCUCUUAUAC